rnacentral:rRNA from 1 species
GAUGAACGCUGGCGGCGUGCUUAACACAUGCAAGUCGAACGAGAAGUGAAGACGGAAACCUUCGGGCGGAAGGCUUUAUUUCGAGUGGCGGACGGGUGAGUAACGCGUGGGUAACCUGCCUCAUACAGGGGGAUAACAGUUGGAAACGACUGUUAAUACCGCAUAAGACCACAGCACCGCAUGGUGCGGGGGUAAAAACUCCGGUGGUAUGAGAUGGACCCGCGUUCGAUUAGCCAGUUGGCGGGGUAACGGCCCACCAAAGCGACGAUCGAUAGCCGAUCUGAGAGGAUGACCGGCCACACUGGGACUGAGACACGGCCCAAACUCCUACGGGAGGCAGCAGUGGGGAAUAUUGCACAAUGGGGGAAACCCUGAUGCAGCGACGCCGCGUGAGUGAAGAAGUAUUUCGGUAUGUAAAGCUCUAUCAGCAGGGAAGAAAAUGACGGUACCUGAGUAAGAAGCCCCGGCUAACUACGUG